rnacentral:rRNA from 1 species
CUACGGGCGGCAGCAGUGAGGAAUAUUGCACAAUGGGGGGAACCCUGAUGCAGCAACGCCGCGUGGAGGAUGACGCAUUUCGGUGUGUAAACUCCUUUUAUAUGUCAAGAAAAUGACGGUAGCAUAUGAAUAAGCACCGGCUAACUCCGUGCCAGCAGCCGCGGUAAUACGGAGGGUGCAAGCGUUACUCGGAAUCACUGGGCGUAAAGGACGCGUAGGCGGGUUGGAAAGUCGGGUGUGAAAUCCUACAGCUUAACUGUAGAACUGCACUUGAAACUUCUAAGCUAGAGUAUGGGAGGGGGAGAUGGAAUUAGUUGUGUAGGGGUAAAAUCCGUAGAUAUCACUAGGAAUACCAAAAGCGAAGGCGAUCUCCUGGAACAGUACUGACGCUAAGGCGUGAAAGCGUGGGGAGCAAACAGGAUUAGAUACCCCCGUAGUC